rnacentral:rRNA from 1 species
GACGAACGCUGGCGGCGUGCUUAACACAUGCAAGUCGAACGGAAAGGCCCUGCUUUUGUGGGGUGCUCGAGUGGCGAACGGGUGAGUAACACGUGAGUAACCUGCCCUUGACUUUGGGAUAACUUCAGGAAACUGGGGCUAAUACCGGAUAGGAGCUCCUGCUGCAUGGUGGGGGUUGGAAAGUUUCGGCGGUUGGGGAUGGACUCGCGGCUUAUCAGCUUGUUGGUGGGGUAGUGGCUUACCAAGGCUUUGACGGGUAGCCGGCCUGAGAGGGUGACCGGCCACAUUGGGACUGAGAUACGGCCCAGACUCCUACGGGAGGCAGCAGUGGGGAAUAUUGCACAAUGGGCGGAAGCCUGAUGCAGCAACGCCGGGUGCGGGAGGACGGCCUUCGGGUUGUAAACCGCUUUCGCCUGUGACGAAGCGUGAGUGACGGUAAUGGGUAAAGAAGCACCGGCUAACUACGU